UUUGAAAUUUUGCAAGGGGAUUUGUUUUUAGGGGAAUUUAUGGUAUUAAAUUUUGAUGGUUUAAAAGGUCGAGGGGAUGGGGAGAUAAAAGAGGAUCGUGUGUGUAUCCAGUGAGGUCGUUUUAAAUAAUAAAGCCCACCCUUAAAAGAAAAUUCAUCUGGCUCGGUGCCUUUUUAGUUUUGUCUGGUCCGACGAUUUCAAAAUGUAUUUUUCUUCUCUUGUUAAAAAUAAAUACAAAUUGACUUUCAGAUUAAAUUGGGCAAUAAUCAUGCUUCGUUCGUGUUUAUUAAGGGUUGUCUAAUUAACAAUAAUGCCGGACGUUUAGAAUGAGGAACUCGAUAUCCGUGUAGAAACAUAGUAAAAAUAGGAUCUCUGAUAAGAAGCAAAUUCUGGGAUAAUUAAAUCGUUUUUUUUUCAUCUUAUACAUUAUUAAUACAAACGGUAGAGUUUUUCUAUAUUUACCGGUAUCCCUCGUAUAACACGGUAGUUACGUUCCGAAAAAGUGCUGUUACGCCAAUCCGUGCCAUAGGAAACAAACGGCUAAUUUAGGUUAGGCUUACGUUUCAGAAGUUAGCAACGAAAAAGAAUUGUAUACUUUUGAUAAGAGAAAUAUGUUUAUUAAAACAUUCGAUAAUUAAUUAACAAUCGCAAUUAAAAAUAUUGUAUUACGCGUUAAUAUUAAUUUUACUUAAGUCGGGGCCUUUUUCUUUUUACAAAGGGUCGUCGUCUUCUCGGCUUUUUUGUCCAUCUUCAUCGAAAGUAUGGGAAACGUUUUCGUAUUUUUCAUUUUUAUCAUAAACAGUUUUUAUGAUUAAAACGAAAUAAAAAUAUGUUACUAAUCGAUGAUUUGUUCUAGUGGGUGGCAUUUGUUCGGUCGAGUACAGAACGACUCUUUUUUUCCAGAAUUUGUGUUUGAGUACCGAGAUACCGCCGUAUUUCGUGUACGAUUACUUCAUUUUUAAAAAUGAAGUAAUCGUACACGAAAUACACGGUCUGGAAAAAAGUUUAAUAACACUUAAAAUCCAGCAGCAUUUUGUGGCGCCAUCUUUUAUAAAUAUUUUGAAAAAAAAUUUUAUUUUUUAACUACUAUAUUAUAAAAUGGCAAAAAACGUAAUUUUGAGGGUAGGGAUGGGUAUUAUAAAAGAAUAGUAAAUGCUAAUAAUAACCAGUAAAAUUGUCAUUAAGUCCGACCCUACCAGAUAUAUACCCCCGCCUUUCUCUCUCCACCCCCUCGACCUUUAAUCACCAAAAUUUAAUAGCAUCGAUCAUCUCCUAAUACAGAAACCUCCCUGCAAAAUUUCAGAAAUUUUUCUACAAAAAGCUAUUAAGCUUGAACAAAAUCGUGCCACGCUCACAUUCACACUAACAUCCAUCCAUACAUGCAGAAUUACUUCCACAAUUUUUUGCAUUUCUCGAUGUUUCGAGGUGUCCCAAGUCCAAAAGAAAUGUAAAAAUCUUGCAGGGGUCUUUUUUUGACUGGCCAUACUUUCCUUCUUAUAUAUAACAACCGGAAAAGUAAAAAGAGGAAUUAGAGUAAUAUAUAAUGAAGGAAAACUGGUUAGGAGCCGUCAGCGAUAAUAUUCGUUAACGAUUACACGAAUGAAUAUUAUCCCUUAAUUAAAAUAAUUCAUACGGUUCAAAGCGUUGCUUUCCGGAAAAGAUCUCAGCCCUACGGGGGAAUCGGUUUGAUUUUAUGUAAAUUUUUAAAGCCAAAUAAAGAACUACUCUGGGUACAAACUUUUCCUUAAAUGAACGAACAGACAAUCAAUAUACAUUAUCAGUUAGAGCAAGUAACAAAUACUACCCCUGUCAAAUGCGUGCUAGUGCUUCAAACGUUAACUCGACAAAUACAAGACAAAACGUUUUUGCAAAUUUAAUCUUCCAUCAAGACGAUUAGAAUCCUAUUGAAAUCCUAAGCCGAUGAUUAAAGUCACUUUUUGAUGUUUAGCCUUUUUUUUCCAAGUCAUAUAACAUCGAAAAAUGAAACAAACGGAAGCGAGUUUACGAAUUUAUCCGAAUUAAAAGAAAAACUGGUAGAAAUUACGAGAGAAGACAUUUUAAUUUUGGAGGAUUUAAAGACACGCUUCGAUUGCACAGAUAUAUUAAUAUAAAAUUCUAAGUAAACUUAAAAAUGGUUUUAGUCGCGUUAGAACCGCAGAAAGGAAUUUACUAUCGAAAUUAUAAAGUUAAGACUAAAUUUUUAUCGACGAUUCUAAAAAAUGCUUUUUAACGCAGUUAAAAUAUAAAUACUCAUCCAUCGACUAUUACCGAAAUUUAUAUUCUUUUUUUAAGAAAUUUGAUUGUCUUAGAGUGAUUAUUUUCACCACGGUGAAAACAAAUGGGGAAAAUAACAUCUUCCGUUGAGUCAUUUUUCGACGUGCCAAGCGUGGUUUAAGGUUUUAUUUAAUUAUAAUUAGGUUGAUAAUAAUUGAGAAAAUGCUUUCAGACAAAAAGCAAAAAAGACCCCCGAAGUAAUGAAGAUAAAUUUCAAAGGGCUUUAAUUAGCCAUUUGUUUGCGUCGAGAUUAAAAAUGAUUUAUCGGGAACGGCGUUAAGUGGAAAUCGUUUAAUAAGCGUUGCCGAUAAGCUAAUAAGCUACCGAUAACCAGUCUACGUUAGCUUUUAUCUGCAAGGGAAGUGGUUCCGUUUCUUUUUCGGUAAUCGUGUUUUUAAUUUUAAUUAAAAUACCGGACAUUGCAGAUCGCCAAAGAAUUUGUUUUUGGACAAGAGUCGAAGAUGAAGCUGCAUUUUCUUGCAAUUUGCAUUUUGUCCUGUCUUCCCCUCUGUCUGUCGUUCAGAUUGGCCAAAAGGGAGCAAAAAAUUCCAGACUGGGCCACUCGCUGUGGCAUUGAUUUCAAUCCAUCUCCUGACAAACAUUAUGAACAACGUUGUAAUAUUGAAGAAAAGAUAUUGAUUUGCAUCAUGGUUUGCAAACCUGGUUGGCGAGCUAAAGAAGGGAAUGCAAACUCUCGAAAAGAUUAUCGGGCUUGUUAUGAUACUGGAGAAUGGUUGCCAGAAGUACUGCCAUUUAAGAGAUCAUUCAGUUGUGAUAUAGAAAUAAAAAACAGCAUUAAUUUAUAGUGGUAAGAACUACUAUGGCCUCCAGGCCUGGGAGAAAAAUCCUAAGCUCUCCUCUUGGCUAUCCUGCUUGUUGUAACAUUACCUUUUAAUAUAUAAUUCAAGCUUAUAUCUAUAAUUGCACCAGAACUUAAAAUGUCCUGAAGAUACUGACCAAUUAGCCUUUUCUUAUGGAUCUGAUGAAGUGUUUGAUGAUGAGGAGACAAAUGAGGAAAAUGAAGGUGAAGACAAAAAAUAAUUUGUAAACCAAUUUUCAAGAAACCUGUAUUAUACAAAAUAUUUUGAUUUCAAUAAACUAAAAUAAAUACUGUGAACAAAAUCUUGGUCUGAUUUUAAAACUGGGUUUUAUUUAUAUUUUAGACAGAUAACCUAAAAAUUAGGAUUUAUCUAACAAUUUGGAGGGCUUAUCACACCAAGGCCUAUUUUUUAGGUUAUCUAACUCUAUCUAAUUUAUAGUCGUGGGCUAAAAGCGUCGUUUAUUAUGACAGUUUUCAGUUAGAAUUAUUCUGUUGACUAGAUGGUCAGGGGGUAACUUGCAACCCAACAUAACUUGCUCAAGUGGUAGGUACUUAGAAAUCUUUAGGCUAGCUGCCAUUUCCUUGUGGGAUUAU